rnacentral:lncRNA from 1 species
CAACGGCACCCUCGUAUUUCAUUGUUAGUUACGCGCAUACGGUUUACAGACCCUUCUGUCUGCGAUAUAGGGUGUUUUGUGGAGGGCGACUCGGGCUUUGAAGGGUGAAUUUGUCCGUUGGCGUUACUCUUGCUGGCCGUCCCCUCGUUUCGUCAAUGCGCACACUCGGAAACCAAUGGCAACGCAGCUGCAAUAGGGAAGGCAAAUGUUUUCUUCGAGGGACGUCAGACAAUUUCAUUUAGUAUUGAAGUUUGUUCCAUUACUUUCGGUUGUCUGUUUUGCUGUUCUGCUACAGCAGUCUUCUGCGUUAAUCAUGUAAUCUUAACGAGAUAGUUACAAAUGCAAUACCUAUCACUUGCUUUGUAACUAUCUCGUUAGUUCUCGCAAUGAUUUUUAUGUAAGUAUAUUAUAGGUAUUUAACAAUAAAAUAAACGUACCUUUGGAAUACAAUCAAAAUAAAAAAAAUAAGAAAACAUUUUCUUUCAUAUAUUUUUUAUUUCAUGUGGGUAUAUAUUAUAUACUAAGUAAAUAUCAAAUUUAUACAAAUUUGUAUUGAUUGUAUUUGUUGUCUUUAAAAUUAUUUUAUCUUUAAUAAAAUACAUUGGGGAUGAGCUGAUACACUUGAUAUUAGUGGUUUAAAAAAAAUAUAUUUAUUUUCGAAAACAAAUAUUUCUGUAAUGUCUAGAAUAUCAAAAAAAUAUUUCUAUUAAUUUAAUUUAACCCAACUCAUGGUUUUUGAUUUCAACUUUUGGUUUUAUAUUGGUACCUAGCAUAUAUAUUAGAUUUCAGUAAAACAUGGUAUCAAAUAUUAUAAAUGAUUUAUUAUAUUUGGUGGUAUUGGCCCAUUCUUAUACAAUAUAUACCUACUUAUAUAUGUGUACCUGGUUAAAUAUAUUAUGUAUGUUUUGUUUUUGUUUUUAUUAUAGUGCUCAACUACAACGCUGGCAUCCAUAACACUCAAAACACCUUCCAACUAUUAAGAGGAUUGUAGUUAACAAAUCAAAUCAAUACCUAUCUAGAUACUAAUGGCUUUAUCGAGUGAAAUCAAUUUUUUAUUAAAUUUAGUGUUUUAAACUUAUAAUUUAUUUAUAAUGCAUUUCAUUUUUUAAACAUAAAUAUUAUGGUAAUCAUGCAGUGGCGUACCCAGAGAGAAACAAUGGGACUUCAGCUCCUAUUGGGUGUAUUAUAAUACAAUAAAUAAUAAAAAAUAUUCAGCAUUAAAAAAUCCUGGGUACAUCCGCCACUUCAACCAUGAGUUUAAGGUCAAAAAUUCUUAUGUGCGUAUAUCAACAAUAAAUAGAAUAUUUAAUUGCAUUCUUGGUACAGUCGUUUUCAUCCAGCGGCUGAAAAUGUCUGCGCCAAGAACGUAAGCUUUUCAUUGUCGAUAUACGCACAUGCGGGUUUUUUGACCGUGGCCUACAUUUAUAAUAUUUAUGCAAAAAUAUAUUUUUUUUAUCAGUUAUUAUUGUAAUUCAAUUUUAAAUAUCCAAUGUUCUUGUUAAUUUUAAAAUAUUACUUACUUUGUAAGUUGUAACAUUGUAGAUUGACUUUUAUGUAGUUUAAAAUGUUUAAUACCUACCAUAACUAAAACAUACUGUAUUGAUAGCAAUGAUUAAUGUUUGAAUAUAAAUCUAGAUUUAUAUUCAAACAUUAAUUUGUAUACUUAUUCUUUUGUUCACAUUUAUAUUUAAAUCAAAUAAACUAUAAUUAUUUUCAAAUAUAUUUAUCAAUGUGUAUAAUUUAUUUACAUUGUUACUUAUAAAUUAUAUAAUGAACAUCUUAGUAUAUUAGUUUAACUGCAAUAAAAAUGUUGGUAUCGAAUGGUG